AACGGUCUAUACCUGCGGUACCUGCGGAAGGAUCAUUACAGAGUUGCAAAACUCCAAACCAUUGUGAACUUACCUUUGCCGUUGCUUCGGCGGGCGGCCCGGGUCCCGACCCGGCGCCCCCCGGCCCCGUCAGGGGCGCCCGCCGGAGGUAAACCAAACUCUUGAAUUGUAUGGCCUCUCUGAGUCUUCUGUACUGAAUAAGUCAAAACUUUCAACAAUGGAUCUCUAGAUCGGAAGAGC
rnacentral:misc_RNA from 1 species